UACGAAGGGGGCUAGCGUUACUCGGAUUGACUGGGCGUAAAGGGCGCGUAGGCGGCUUGUACAGUCAGACGUGAAAUUCCUGGGCUCAACCUGGGGGCUGCGUUUGAUACGUGCGGGCUUGAGUUCGGAAGAGGGUCGUGGAAUUCCCAGUGUAGAGGUGAAAUUCGUAGAUAUUGGGGAAGAACACCGGUGGCGAAGGCGGCGACCUGGUCCGAUACUGACGCUGAGCGCGAAGCG
rnacentral:rRNA from 1 species